rnacentral:rRNA from 1 species
GUGGGGAAUUUUGGACAAUGGGCGCAAGCCUGAUCCAGCAAUGCCGCGUGCAGGAAGAAGGCCUUCGGGUUGUAAACUGCUUUUGUACGGAACGAAACGGUCCUGGUUAAUACCCGGGGCUAAUGACGGUACCGUAAGAAUAAGCACCGGCUAACUACGUGCCAGCAGCCGCGGUAAUACGUAGGGUGCAAGCGUUAAUCGGAAUUACUGGGCGUAAAGCGUGCGCAGGCGGUGCUGUAAGACAGGCGUGAAAUCCCCGGGCUUAACCUGGGAAUUGCGCUUGUGACUGCAGUGCUGGAGUGCGGCAGAGGGGGAUGGAAUUCCGCGUGUAGCAGUGAAAUGCGUAGAUAUGCGGAGGAACACCGAUGGCGAAGGCAAUCCCCUGGGCCUGCACUGACGCUCAUGCACGAAAGCGUGGGGAGCAAACAGGAUUAGAAACCCUUGUAGUCC